rnacentral:rRNA from 1 species
AUGCUAAAGUUAUUGGGAUCUCAAGCAUUGCAAGAACACUCGCCCAGGAAGCUAUCUUCAUCCUUUAAUGUGGAUGUUGUAUUCACAUUUAAACUUCCCACAAUAGUGGUGGUGUGCACUGAUAUAACAUGUAAGUUCUCUUUCCUGUCUUUUUUUUUGUAUGUUAGUUUGGCUGCUAAACUGAUUUGCAGCUCAGGCAUAUAUAGCCUACUGCCUCAGGAAGCUCAAGAGAUACAUAUCACAGGUUAUCUUAGCAAGCUCUUCAUAAGAAAACUUCCCUGUUCAUAUUCAGAUUUCUUAAAGCUUUUUAAUUAUUUUUAA